GUUUGAUCAUGGCUCAGAACGUACGCUGGCGGCACGCCUAACACAUGCAAGUCGAACGAAGUAGCAAUACUUAGUGGCAGACGGGUGAGUAACAUGUAGGUAUCUACCCUUUGGCCUGGAAUAACACGAGGAAACUUGUGCUAAUACCGGAUAAGUCUUAACGGAGAAAGCUUUAUGCACCAUUGGAUGAGCCUGCACUUGAUUAGUUUGUUGGUGGGGUAAUGGCCUACCAAGACUGUGAUCAAUAGCUGAUUUGAGAGGAUGAUCAGCCACAUUGGGACUGAGACACGGCCCAAACUCCUACGGGAGGCAGCAGUGGGGAAUCUUGCACAAUGGAGGAAACUCUGAUGCAGCGAUGCCGCGUGAGUGAAGAAGGCCCUUGGGUUGUAAAGCUCUUUCGUCGGGGAAGAAAAUGACUGUACCCGAAUAAGAAGGUCCGGCUAACUUCGUGCCAGCAGCCGCGGUAAUACGGAGGAUCCAAGCGUUAUCCGGAAUUAUUGGGUUUAAAGGGUCCGUAGGCGGUUUUUUAAGUCAGAGGUGAAAUCCUGCAGCUCAACUGUAGCAUUGCCUUUGAUACUGAAAGACUUGAGUUAUUGUGAAGUAGUUAGAAUGUGUAGUGUAGCGGUGAAAUGCAUAGAUAUUACACAGAAUACCGAUUGCGAAAGCAGAUUACUAACAAUAUACUGACGCUCAUGGACGAAAGCGUGGGUAGCGAACAGGAUUAGAUACCCUGGUAGUCCACGCCGUAAACGAUGGAUACUAGCUGUUCGAUCAACAUUGGUUGAUUGAGUGGUUAAGCGAAAGUGAUAAGUAUCCCACCUGGGGAGUACGCUCGCAAGAGUGAAACUCAAAGGAAUUGACGGGGGCCCGCACAAGCGGUGGAGCAUGUGGUUUAAUUCGAUGAUACGCGAGGAACCUUACCAGGGCUUAAAUGUAAGUUGCAUAGAUCAGAGAUGAUCUUUCUCUUCGGACCACUUACAAGGUGCUGCAUGGUUGUCGUCAGCUCGUGCCGUGAGGUGUCAGGUUAAGUCCUAUAACGAGCGCAACCCUCACUUUUAGUUGCCAUCAUUUAGUUGGGCACUCUGAAAGAACUGCCAGUGAUAAGCUGGAGGAAGGUGGGGAUGACGUCAAGUCCUCAUGGCCCUUACGUGUUGGGCUACACACGUGCUACAAUGGCAUUUACAAUAGGAAGCAAAAUGGCAACAUUGAGCAAAUCCUAAAAAGAUGCCUCAGUUCGGAUUGCACUCUGCAACUCGAGUGCAUGAAGCUGGAAUUACUAGUAAUCGCGGAUCAGCGCGCCGCGGUGAAUACGUUCCCGGGUCUUGUACACACCGCCCGUCACACCAUGGGAGUUGGUUCUACCUUAAGGCAAAGUUUAAAACCUUUGACCACGGU
rnacentral:rRNA from 1 species